CCUGCUUUAUACAAUAGAUAGAAAGAUAUUCUGUAUUUCCUCCAGUGAACGAAGAUACAAUGUGAUAUGAUAUAUUUACAUGCAGAUCAGAAACAGGGGAAUACAGAUAGUUACAAACAAUUUACAAAGAAAUGUUUCCAGUUGUUAACAGUUGUACACACAUUAGUCAUACAUUCAAGCCAUACAUUAUCAUCAAGGGAUAGACAAUAUUCUGUUGGAAGUCCUCCGAGUAAGAAACAUAGAAUCAAUUCUUCAUCAUUGUUCCAAAGGCUAGAAAACGUAUUUACAUCUACUAUGUCAAUAAUUGAUUCGAUAA